rnacentral:tRNA from 1 species
UCCCUGGUAGUCCACUGGCUAAGACUCUGCACUCCCAAUGCAGGAGGCUCAGGUUCAAUCCCUGGUCAGGGAA